GACGAACGCUGGCGGCGUGCUUAACACAUGCAAGUCGAACGGAAAGGCCCUGCUUUUGUGGGGUGCUCGAGUGGCGAACGGGUGAGUAACACGUGAGUAACCUGCCCUUGACUUUGGGAUAACGUCAGGAAACUGGGGCUAAUACCGGAUAGGAGCUCCUGCUGCAUGGUGGGGGUUGGAAAGUUUCGGCGGUUGGGGAUGGACUCGCGGCUUAUCAGCUUGUUGGUGGGGUAGUGGCUUACCAAGGCUUUGGCGGGUAGCCGGCCUGAGAGGGUGACCGGCCACAUUGGGACUGAGAUACGGCCCAGACUCCUACGGGAGGCAGCAGUGGGGAAUAUUGCACAAUGGGCGGAAGCCUGAUGCAGCAACGCCGCGUGCGGGAUGACGGCCUUCGGGUUGUAAACCGCUUUCGCCUGUGACGAAGCGUGAGUGACGGUAAUGGGUAAAGAAGCACCGGCUAACUACGUG
rnacentral:rRNA from 1 species